rnacentral:rRNA from 1 species
GUAACGGCGAGUGAAGCGGCAACAGCUCAAAUUUGAAAUCUGGCCUCUUCGGGGUCCGAGUUGUAAUUUGUAGAGGGUGUUUCGGGCGCGAUGCCGGUCUAAGUUCCUUGGAACAGGACGUCGUAGAGGGUGAGAAUCCCGUAUGCGACCGGCGAUCAAGCCUGUGUGAAGCCCCUUCGACGAGUCGAGUUGUUUGGGAAUGCAGCUCAAAAUGGGUGGUAAAUUUCAUCUAAAGCUAAAUAUUGGCCAGAGACCGAUAGCGGACAAGUAGAGUGAUCGAAAGAUGAAAAGCACUUUGGAAAGAGAGUCAAACAGUACGUGAAAUUGUUGAAAGGGAAGCGCUUGCAAUCAGACCGGUCCGGAGGCGAUCAGCCGCUGCUCGUCAGCGGUGCACUCGCCUGCGAUCCGGCCAGCAUCGGUUUGGGCGGUGGGAUAAAAGUCCCGGGAAUGUAGCUUCUUUCGGGGAGUCUUAUAGCCCGGGUCGCAAUGCCGCCCGCUCGGACCGAGGACCGCGCUUCGGCUAGGAUGCUGGCGUAAU